CGACGACUACGAUUGCGUAAUCGAAGCCGCCGGACUUGACGAAGUUGGUGUCUGGAUUCUGAUUGUAGACGAUUUGCGUCGUCGGAUCCACCGUGUUGUUCACCGCGGCGAGGAUCGUUGUACCUGCAAAAUUCAAUUUCAGAUUGGUAAUGCUCUCUUCUGGAGUUCCGGAUUUUAUUGGUUUGCUUUGCUUUGACAUUUGUUGUUGCAUAUUGGAAUCAGAACAAACUGAAAAUGACAUAAAUAGUGAAUCUGGAAUGGUCUUAGAAAGUCUUCUGUGUUCUAUAUGAUGAUAAUGAUGAUGAUGAUGAUGAUGAAUCACUAGAAUAGAUAGAGGAAAGUUGUGUGUGUACCAAUGGUGAGAUUGUUGCCUUUGAGGCCUUGCCAAGUGAUUGUCCAGCCUCCACAUUGGUAUCCCAAGUUAUCAGCGUGUGUGCCUGCGACAAGGAUCUUGUUGCUCUUCUUUGGCAGAGGAAGUAAUGGUUUAUCUGCAUUUUCACCAUUCUUCAACAACCCAGUGAUUUCCUCACUGCUUCCCUUGCCAGUUCCCUGUGUUCCUGUUAAAGGAAAGGGACAUCCAAUGUUGAGUUUGGGAUCUCUAUAUGAAAGCUGAUGUUUUUAUCUUGUCCCUGCAAUUUUACAGACCUUACUACCGAGCUGGUUAGCCAAGCUACGAUCAGCCAUGGGAUCCUCAAAGAGCCCCAUUGUAAAUUUGACUGUCAAGAUUCUCUUCACAGCAUCGUCGAUUCUGCUCAUCGGGAUGAGUUUUCUCUUCACCU
rnacentral:lncRNA from 1 species